CGGGCUGCCUGCGGAGCCCAGGCGCUUGGCUUCAGAGGAUGGUGCCCAGCGGCCCCUCCGAUGCCCGCCAGGGACCCCUCCGACGCCCCCGAGCGCCUGCCGGGCUGCAACACCGGAGGAAGCAGGAUGAGCGGGCGCAGAGAGAGGCAGGGAAAGAGGCAGCCGGUGACCACCGCACCCGCGGCCCAGAGCGUCUGCGUGAUCCGGGCCCCAGUUUCUCCCCAGGGUGGCUUUUGUUGUUACUCGCGAUCUGGAAAAUCGGGCCCACAGUGGGUGCCAGGGUGGCUGCCUCCGCCUCCUGCUGAAGCGAGGACUCAGGCACGAGGAGAAGGCCCUCGCAAGGCUGGUUCUCUCCUGAGUCCGUCCUCAUUUGGGGCGGCUGAGAGGGAAGGACGAAGUUAUUAAAGCCUUGCUCCCUGGGCCUGUCACUCAGGCACCUCGUCGCUGGCGGCCUCUCCGGCUGGGUCUUCACAGCCGCCUCUGCAGCCCUGGGAUUCGCUGGUGCUCAGAGGCCUGGCACCCCCACGGCCUGGGUGACCCUUUCUCAGCCCUUGACAGGAGAAGGGGGCGUGAAGACAGAGCUGAGAGAGAUUUGAAGAUGCUGGCAUUGAAGAGUAGAGGGGUGUGCCCACAAGCCAAGGAAUGCCAACAGCCACCAGCAGCCAGAAGAGGAGUGACUUUCAAGGACAUGAAGAAGCUGAGGACCUUUUCAAGUGUGGGCAUCACCAUUUCUCUUGGUGCCAGGUCUCAGCUGCCCAUCCAGCCGCUACCUCUGGAAACGCUCCUGUCUGCCCCGGGCCCUCCCCAUGGAGUCUGACCCCAGCACAGACCUCCAGGGAUUCCCGAAGCAGUCCUGGAUGCCACAGACCCCACUGCAGUCCCGAACACCCCUAGCUGCUUCAUCCACCUGUUUGACAACUACCCUGCCCUAAGUAUGCCAACAUAAGCCAUCCUCUGACUUUAUAAAGACUUAGGAACUGCACAGUCCAUGAGACUGUCCAUGCC
rnacentral:lncRNA from 1 species